rnacentral:rRNA from 3 species
UCUGGUGACAAUGGCAAGGAGGUCACACCUGUUCCCAUGCCGAACACAGAAGUUAAGCUCCUUAGCGCCGAUGGUAGUCGGACUGACGUU